rnacentral:rRNA from 1 species
CCUACGGGGGGCAGCAGUGGGGAAUAUUGGACAAUGGGGGGAACCCUGAUCCAGCCAUGCCGCGUGUGUGAAGAAGGCCCUCGGGUUGUAAAGCACUUUCAGGGAGGAAGAACGCCUGGUGGUUAAUACCCAUCAGGAAAGACAUCACUCACAGAAGAAGCACCGGCUAACUCCGUGCCAGCAGCCGCGGGAAUACGGAGGGUGCGAGCGUUAAUCGGAAUUACUGGGCGUAAAGCGCGCGUAGGUGGCUUGAUAAGCCGGUUGUGAAAGCCCCGGGCUCAACCUGGGAACGGCAUCCGGAACUGUCAAGCUAGAGUGCAGGAGAGGAAGGUAGAAUUCCCGGUGUAGCGGUGAAAUGCGUAGAGAUCGGGAGGAAUACCAGUGGCGAAGGCGGCCUUCUGGACUGACACUGACACUGAGGUGCGAAAGCGUGGGUAGCAAACAGGAUUAGAUACCCGUGUAGUC